rnacentral:lncRNA from 1 species
GCCCCUUAAAAUAAUACUUUAGUCUCAUAUUUUUAGUUUCUACUUCAGAACCUGCCUCGAGCUAAAACUGUAUUGUUGUGGUUGAAAUUUAUUUUCAACUCAAUUAUUGGAUUCAUUCAUGGGAUAAUUAGAAGCCCCAUAGACAGUUGCUCAAGUUAGUUUAAACUCACCAUUGGAAGAUCCCAGAAUUGUCAAGGUUGUACUUCUGAAAAAAUGAUGAAAACUAUAGGUAAAUGGCUGGAGAGCAAGCAAAUUGAACAGCAGAUAAAAGAGAAUGUCUUCAAUCUUAUGGCGUAUUAAGUAUUGGGUCAGCAGAAGAAAGUGGUUGAAACAAUUAUCAUGAAGUCACCAAGUUUGGCAGAUUUGAGAGAUCACAUGUUUAAAGAGAGAUUUUUGUUCUGUUUUCUCACCUCAGGGCCCUUGUGAAUUGAUGAAUAUGAAGACACUAAGAAAGCAGAAAUAGAACUGAGAAGAAUGAAAUAACUGUCUCUACCUUUCUCGAAUUGUCUAAUAUGGAAAGAAUGAAAGACAGCUAAUAAGCAACUCUCUGCAAGAAGACAUAUGGCUUAGAAUCUACUUGGAGAGAGUCAAACACAGAAUCCCUUUGAAUUUAAUGGCCAUUCCAGGUGAUUUGAACAGCCAAAUAAGAAACAGGUCCUCUUCAAUGUACAAUCUGCCAAGUAUGAAGUCUGAAUGACCAUCAUUAUUAUGUAUUUAAUGUGCAUAGAAAAUCUAUCUGCAACCUUCCAGAGUGUACCAGAAGUUUGGAAUGUACAUUAUUAUUGGCUCCAUCUCAAACCACUCAUAAAUCAAAGAAAAUAGCAGUUCCAGAGGAAUCAUCAUAGAGGCUUCUAGGCCCCCAUGCUGUGUGAACCUGGUGAGAAAGGGAAGUCUGCUCUCACUGGACACUGGAACUGUUUGUCUCUGUCUCUGCUGUACUUUCCCUGCCUCUACCUCACUUAGUAAAGAAAUCAUCUUUGCUUGAUAACUAAAACAACCAAUAAGGCUGAGAAAGGGGAAAACCCACAUCUGGAUUUAAAUACAAGGUAUUGGGCCAGCUGCUGGGGAUUAAACUUUGAACAAAACAGAUAGAAUCUAUGUCCUCAUGGGAGUGGCUAAUGGGAGAGUCGGAACAAAAAAAUAGCCAAGGAUAAUCCAGCAAAUGAUUUGGUGAAUGCUAUCAAAGAGAGAAAUACACAUGCUCUGGGAACACCAAGUAGGUACCUAAUACCUAACCUGUACCUGGGGGGCUGGAAAGGGCUUCUUGGAAGAGGCAGAGACUAAAAUGAAGAAUAAGCAUAAGUUAAGACAAAGCUGGGGUGGGGUCAGAAAGAGUGUGAUAGGCCAACGCAGCAACAUGAGCCAAGACUCAAAAAUAAGAGACAGUGUGGCACAUUUGAUGUAGGAAAGACAUUUAGCUGGGAUAGAAAGAAGGCUAGUGUUGGGGCUGAAUGAGGUUGCAUAAAAGUUUGUAAGCCAAGUUAAGGAAUUGAUCAAAUUUAUAUUUUAGAAUGAUCACUCUGACCUCAGCAUUACAUGACCUGAAGGGGUUAAGCCCAUACAUCUGUAGAGAGACCCGUUAGAAUAGGACUGCAGUAAUAUGGUGAGAGACACUGGUGCCUAACUAGGCUGGUGAUCAUAGAGAUAAAGGGAUAUAUGGGAGAGGUAGAGCCGACAGCCAUUGAUAACUGGUGGUCGGCCAGGUCAAGGGGACAGUGUCUGCUUUAGGUAAUUGGCUUGAUGAUAAUCUCAUUUUCAAAGAUCAGGAACACAGGCCUGAGAGUACAUUUGGAGAGGAAGAUGAUUCGGGUUUGCAUCAUGUAGGGUUCGAGGUGUCUAUGGGACACUAUAUGCAGAAGUCCAGUAGGCAAUUGGUUCUGUGGGCCUAGCACUCAGAGGAGAGUGCGAGUCUAAUGACAGAAAAUUGGCAGUCACCAUCGUGUAGAUGGUAAUGGAUGGUAUGAUUUGGGGUGAUUGCUGAGGCAGGAACAUGGGCACAAUGCUGAGGAGUGCAAAUGGCUAAGGGAUGGGACACAGCAGGAACCUGCAAAGGAGCCCAGAAAACAAGAAAUAGGGAGAAAGCCUGGGAACACUGUGAUUCUACGGAAUCACAGAAUUGAAGACAAACAAUGUGAAACUAAGUACAGGCC